UACGUAGGGUGCAAGCGUUGUCCGGAAUUAUUGGGCGUAAAGAGCUCGUAGGCGGUCUGUCGCGUCGGCUGUGAAAUCCCGGAGCUCAACUCCGGGUCUGCAGUCGAUACGGGCAAACUGGAGUACUGCAGGGGAGACUGGAAUUCCUGGUGUAGCGGUGAAAUGCGCAGAUAUCAGGAGGAACACCGGUGGCGAAGGCGGGUCUCUGGGCAGUAACUGACGCUGAGGAGCGAAAAGCGUGGGGGAGCGAACAGG
rnacentral:rRNA from 1 species